GGUGGGGGGGGUGACAUACAUGCAAGUCGAACGCACAGCGAAAGGUGCUUGCACCUUUCAAGUGAGUGGCGAACGGGUGAGUAACACGUGGACAACCUGCCUCAAGGCUGGGGAUAACAUUUGGAAACAGAUGCUAAUACCGAAUAAAACUUAGUGUCGCAUGACACAAAGUUAAAAGGCGCUUCGGCGUCACCUAGAGAUGGAUCCGCGGUGCAUUAGUUAGUUGGUGGGGUAAAGGCCUACCAAGACAAUGAUGCAUAGCCGAGUUGAGAGACUGAUCGGCCACAUUGGGACUGAGACACGGCCCAAACUCCUACGGGAGGCUGCAGUAGGGAAUCUUCCACAAUGGGCGAAAGCCUGAUGGAGCAACGCCGCGUGUGUGAUGAAGGCUUUCGGGUCGUAAAGCACUGUUGUAUGGGAAGAACAGCUAGAAUAGGAAAUGAUUUUAGUUUGACGGUACCAUACCAGAAAGGGACGGCUAAAUACGUGCCAGCAGCCGCGGUAAUACGUAUGUCCCGAGCGUUAUCCGGAUUUAUUGGGCGUAAAGCGAGCGCAGACGGUUUAUUAAGUCUGAUGUGAAAGCCCGGAGCUCAACUCCGGAAUGGCAUUGGAAACUGGUUAACUUGAGUGCAGUAGAGGUAAGUGGAACUCCAUGUGUAGCGGUGGAAUGCGUAGAUAUAUGGAAGAACACCAGUGGCGAAGGCGGCUUACUGGACUGCAACUGACGUUGAGGCUCGAAAGUGUGGGUAGCAAACAGGAUUAGAUACCCUGGUAGUCCACACCGUAAACGAUGAACACUAGGUGUUAGGAGGUUUCCGCCUCUUAGUGCCGAAGCUAACGCAUUAAGUGUUCCGCCUGGGGAGUACGACCGCAAGGUUGAAACUCAAAGGAAUUGACGGGGACCCGCACAAGCGGUGGAGCAUGUGGUUUAAUUCGAAGCAACGCGAAGAACCUUACCAGGUCUUGACAUCCUUUGAAGCUUUUAAGAGAUAGAAGUGUUCUCUUCGGAGACAAAGUGACAGGUGGUGCAUGGUCGUCGUCAGCUCGUGUCGUGAGAUGUUGGGUUAAGUCCCGCAACGAGCGCAACCCUUAUUGUUAGUUGCCAGCAUUCAGAUGGGCACUCUAGCGAAACUGCCGGUGACAAACCGGAGGAAGGCGGGGACAACGUCCAGAUCAUCAUGCCCCUUAUGACCUGGGCUACACACGUGCUACAAUGGCGUAUACAACAAGUUGCCAACCCGC
rnacentral:rRNA from 1 species